rnacentral:rRNA from 1 species
ACUCCUACGGGAGGCAGCAGUGGGGAAUAUUGCACAAUGGGCGCAAGCCUGAUGCAGCCAUGCCGCGUGUGUGAAGAAGGCCUUCGGUUGUAAAGCACUUUCAGUCGUGAGGAAGGUAGUGUAGUUAAUAGCUGCAUUAUUUGUACGUUAGCGACAGAAGAAGCACCGGCUAACUCCGUGCCAGCAGCCGCGGUAAUACGGAGGGUGCGAGCGUUAAUCGGAAUUACUGGGCGUAAAGCGCAUGCAGGUGGUUUGUUAAGUCAGAUGUGAAAGCCCGGGGCUCAACCUCGGAAUAGCAUUUGAAACUGGCAGACUAGAGUACUGUAGAGGGGGUAGAAUUUCAGGUGUAGCGGUGAAAUGCGUAGAGAUCUGAAGGAAUACCGGUGGCGAAGGCGGCCCCCUGGACAGAUACUGACACUCAGAUGCGAAAGCGUGGGGAGCAAACAGGAUUAGAUACCCUGGUAGGAUAGCG